AUUGAACGCUGGCGGGAGGCCUAACACAUGCAAGUCGAACGAGUGGCGGACGGGUGAGUAAUGUAUGGGAACCUGCCUGAUGGAGGGGGAUAACUACUGGAAACGGUAGCUAAUACCGCAUACCAUCAGAUGUGCCCAUAUGGGAUUAGCUUGUUGGUGGGGUAAAGGCUCACCAAGGCAACGAUCCCUAGCUGGUCUGAGAGGAUGACCAGCCACACUGGAACUGAGACACGGUCCAGACUCCUACGGGAGGCAGCAGUGGGGAAUUUUGCACAAUGGGGGCAAGCCUGAUGCAGCCAUGCCGCGUGUAUGAUGAAGGCCUUCGGGUUGUAAAGUACUUUCAGCGGGGAGGCGUUACCCGCAGAAUAAGCACCGGCUAACUCCGUGCCAGCAGCCGCGGUAAUUC
rnacentral:rRNA from 1 species